rnacentral:rRNA from 1 species
UUUAAUGGACUCCACAAAGUACUAUGCCAAUCAAAAAUAUAUUUUGAUCUUGGAAGCUAAGCAGGGUCGGGCCUGGUUAGUACUUGGAUGGGAGACCACCUAGGAAGACCAGGUGCUGUAAGCU